rnacentral:rRNA from 1 species
UACGAAAAGAAUAAGUCUCAUAUAUAAUUAAAUAGGUAUAAAGGGUAAGUAGGCAGAUAAUAUGUAAUGUGACUAUCUUGAGUAUAAUAAAAAAAGAAAGAGUAAUUAUUAAAAAGAGCGAUGAAAAUGCUAUGAAAAUUAAUAGGAAGACCAAAUUGAAGAAAUCUUUCUUAUUUAUACUGACGCUGAGAUACGUAAGUGUGGGUAGCAAAAAGG